UACGGAGGAUGCGAGCGUUAUCCGGAUUUAUUGGGUUUAAAGGGUGCGCAGGCGGACUGUCAAGUCAGCGGUAAAAUUGAGAGGCUCAACCUCUUCCCGCCGUUGAAACUGGUGGUCUUGAGUGGAUGAGAAGUACGCGGAAUGCGUGGUGUAGCGGUGAAAUGCAUAGAUAUCACGCAGAACUCCGAUUGCGAAGGCAGCGUACCGGCAUCCAACUGACGCUGAGGCACGAAAGCGUGGGGAUCAAACAGG
rnacentral:rRNA from 1 species